AGUUGGGCAAACAAAUGGAGUUCUCAACCAUAUGUAUCACGUCGUAUGACCUCUCUUCGGGAGCUGACAACUCUUGGAAUUAAAAACGCGGAGAACCUUGCAAUCCCAAGUGUUAGAAAUGAUGCAUCUUUUCUCUUUACGGUGGUAGGGACAACAGGCUUUUUCGGUGUUCUUGCCGGGCAGCUUCCUCGGGUAACUUGAC